rnacentral:lncRNA from 1 species
UCAUCCUUGUGGAGAGGGAGCAUAUCGCUGUGGGCUGCUGUACAAGCUCUGUGUCUGCACAUCCCUUCCCCAUUCUGGAUCCAUGCAGGUGCCAACACAGGUUUCCAGCUUUGCAGUUUCGGCCAAGGCAUCAGCGCGAGUCGAGAAACUCGCAGAGCCCUUGAUCAGGGAGAUGACCUGCUGCUCUAAGCACACCAAACCUGGUGUUGUCAUCUCUACGGUAAGGCAGCAUCACCCAGGACCCUACAUGGAUGGGACUUCUGGCAGAGGAGUGGGUACAGGUGCUCAGUCACUUGUGGCUCUCUUCAUGUCAGCCCUGGAAUGUGCUGCUCUCUAUGAGGCUGGUGUAGCUGCUUCCUGAGCUGGAAAGCAGGACUUGUGCUCCAUUCAGAGCAUGAACUGACUCCGAGCACAUAUCCCCAGAGAGUGGCAGAUCUGUGCCUAACCUGCACUUGUGGGAGCAGGGAGAGGUGGACAAGUGCCUAACUGGGAUCUCCAGUGCUGGGGGUGGAUUGGACAAAAGGCUGUGAGUAAUAGGAGGCUGGAGGGCAGGCUGUGGGACUGGCCAGGCAGUGGUUUCUCCUUCUACAGUUUUCUUGGUGCCAAACAACUGAGGACAUGACCCAGUCCCAUCUAUGUGUGGUCAGUGGCUGUGAACUUGGUAACACUGAAUUGGUUGCAGGUUGAGCACCCUUGAAUGCCAGGAGCAUCUCUAAGGACCUUCCUCCCCAUUCUUCCACAGGUUUCCAGGUCAUCUCAGAAGGUAGUUGCAAGCCCUCGGACCAUUGAACUGUCGAAGCCCAGACAAGUCCACGCUAAGUUCAUGCCUGCACGGGAUCCUGAGUGGCCUGUGACAGCGGCUGCCAAGCGUGCAAUGGCUACAGAAAGGAUUGUGGCCCUGGCCCAGCCUACUGCAAGACCUCGAAUGGGCUUGACUGCACUCAACCCAGAUGCAUUCAAAGUGAAGGAGGCUGCUCUGAAGGCAGUUUGUUCUCCACGGCUCGAACAACUAGCUCGGCCAAUUCAGCGCUAAGCUCUGUCAGAAAUGCUCCUGCCAUCUGCCCACAUCACCCCUUGGAACAUCCCUCUCUCUGGGCUCUGCUGUGGCUGGAAGAUCUCUUUGAACACAGCACAGAGGCAGCACUCAGCAGGAACGCUUUCUGGGAGUUAAAAUAAAAUCAUUCCUUUAGAAAGUCA